UACGGAGGGUGCAAGCAUUAAUCGGAUUUACUGGGCGUAAAGGGCGCGUAGGCGGAUGGAUAAGUCAGAUGUGAAAUUUCGGUACUCAAUAUCGAAGCUGCAUUUGAAACUAUUUAUCUAGAGGAUGGACGGAGAAAACGGAAUUCCACGUGUAGCGGUGAAAUGCGUAGAUAUGUGGAAGAACACCUGUGGCGAAAGCGGUUUUCUAGUUUAUUCCUGACGCUGAGGCGCGAGAGCAAGGGGAGCAAACAGG
rnacentral:rRNA from 1 species